GGAUGCGAUCAUACCAGCACUAAAGCACCGGAUCCUCUCAGAACUCCGAAGUUAAGCGUGCUUGGGCGAGAGUAUUACUAGGAUGGGUGACCUCCUGGGAAGUCCUUGUGUUGCAUUUC
rnacentral:rRNA from 1 species